ensembl:lincRNA
CACCAAAUCAUUCCCCCUAUCUUCAAUAUUCCUCUAAAAACAAAACAAAACAAAAACAAAACAAAACAAAACAAAAGGUGGUGGGGGGAAUAAAGGAGGAUUCAAUUAAAAAGACUGGAGAAACCUGCAGACUUCUGGUAACAAACUUUAUAGUUUGGCAAGAACAGUCAUCUUCCAGGGCAAGGCCAACCGACUGGAUAUCUGAGUACAGUGGAAAGCCCUAAAACAACAUAGAAACCGGAAGUCGUUCUUAAACUGUAAAUGCCAUCGUGGGGAACCCGGGACAGUAACAGUUCGCCACAACAGCUAGGACAACCUUAAUGACCCCCGAACCUGGCCUCGUCCACUGACUCCACAGAUGGGGGCCUGAAGGAGAUAAGAAGCAGGUGCUCUACCCUGGAGACCGUGAUAGGCGGUUUCUGUUCCUUAAAAAAGGAAGUCACUCACUCCUGCCAUCCUGGCCUCAAAGGCUCUGGAUGAGGGAGACGGACAGUGUCAAGCAUCUUAGGAUCCUUAACACGGGAAAGAUGCCGACAGCACGCCCACCCCAUUGUCGGUGUGUCACCUGGAAGAGUGACCCUACCCCGGGUGGCACAGCCAGACCGUGCGUCUCCCCCUCCCCAGCUCCGUCUCCAUCACCUCCUCUUCUUCUGCUUCUUCUUCCUUUCUUAACUCCUGCAAUUCCCACAGCGGCGGUAGCUAGGCAGGAAGGUGCUCGCAUUGCCGGCGGCCUCGCGCCACUUCCGCUUAUGUGUCCUGACGCGCGUGCGCAGGCGCGCGGUCCCGCCCUCAAUACGACCCAGAGCCUACGCCGGUUUGCGCUCCGUUACCUCCUGCGCAUGCUCUAUGCUGCGAUUGGGGGUGUGGGACGCGCGCUUCCACAGUGGAUUAAGGCCUGUGACUGUCGUGCUUCAAGACGGCCUUCCACGAACGGACCCGUGCUCUCGGUGUUUCUGGCUUCAGUACCAGGAUACUGCCGAUGGGUGCCUUGGAGGGAGGCGACUUCCACGUGGACCGAAGUAACACUUGGAUUGCUUCUCAAGUUGAAUUUCAACGGCUGAUGACCAUGGAGAUGUAUUGGAUGAGAGAUGGCAGAGGGAGGACCACUGCCGGGCUAGCGGUCUUCAGCACCUGGAACGGGAGUCAAGGAAGAGAAGCCUAUGAAAGGAAUCUAGGUAAAGUAAGAGGAGGUAGAAAGAAAGGCAGAGAGUGGUGUUGGCUGGGAAUCCAUCAAGGGAGUGAUUUCCAAGAAGGACCUGGAGUGGCUAAUUGUGUCCUGUUUGGCAAAAGUUGAACAAAAUGAAGACAUAAAAAAGAGGCCUUUGGAUUUAGUACAGCAGUUUCCAUGGAGCAGUGCAAAGGAGCAGAUUCUAAGAGGCUGAGCAAUGAACAGGAAGGAGAACGGAAGAGCAAGUGGGGGCGGUGCCUGAAUACAACUCCUGGGAUAAAGGGUGCUGAGAGGGAGGGAGCAGCUUCAGGGGUCCUCGCAAAGAAGGUGACCGUAGAAGGCAUGGCUGGCUCUCUGUUAGCUAAAGGCAACUUUCUCAUACAGAAAAAUAGAAGGAUUGAUAGGGCAGGAGGAACAAGGACAGCUGAAGUAGUAUCCCUGAGAGCAACACCAUGCUUAUGGAUAUUCAUACACAACUUUAAAAUUAGGAGAGAUCAAAUAUAAUAUUCAUAGUUUGAGAUGAGCAAUUUGAGUUGUACAUUGGCUGUACCAUUAGCUAUCUUUUGGUAGGCAAUUAUGCAAAGUGGCCAAGAACCCAGACUCCUAGAGACAGGCUUUUGGGGUUUCAAAAUUGCUGUGUGGCCUUAAGGAAUUCAGUGACCUCUCUGUGCUCCAGCUCUCUGAACAAUAAAUAGAACCUACUUUAUAGGGUUGUCGUCCAUGUGACCUAAGGUGACCUACAUACAGCAUUCAGAACAGUGCCUAGGACAAGGUAGAUGCUGUUUGUACCAAGAAACUAUUGGCUAGUAGUUGCUAGGUUUGCUAAAUUAGCUAAGUAAGUUGGGCUAAAGAGGCUGUCUUCAGGAAGGCA